UGGGGAAUAUUGGACAAUGGGCGCAAGCCUGAUCCAGCCAUGCCGCGUGGAUGAUGAAGGCCCUAGGGUUGUAAAGUCCUUUUAACGGGGAAGAUAAUGACGGUACCCGUAGAAUAAGCCCCGGCUAACUUCGUGCCAGCAGCCGCGGUAAUACGAAGGGGGCUAGCGUUGCUCGGAAUUACUGGGCGUAAAGCGCACGUAGGCGGCUUUCUAAGUCGGGGGUGAAAUCCUGGAGCUCAACUCCAGAACUGCCUUCGAUACUGGAAAGCUCGAGUCCGGGAGAGGUGAGUGGAACUGCGAGUGUAGAGGUGAAAUUCGUAGAUAUUCGCAAGAACACCAGUGGCGAAGGCGGCUCACUGGCCCGGUACUGACGCUGAGGUGCGAAAGCGUGGGGAGCAAACA
rnacentral:rRNA from 1 species